GAAACAAGAGACAGUCAAGUAAGCCAAGGAUGACUCCCAUAUUGGCCAUUUCAGGCUCAAAGAAAAGUAAGAAGAGCCACAAGAGCAGUAUAGGCAAGCCAUUCUUGGCUAACAAACAAGGCUCAUGUUU